rnacentral:rRNA from 1 species
AUUGAACGCUGGCGGCAGGCUUAACACAUGCAAGUCGAACGAUGACUCUCUAGCUUGCUAGAGAUGAUUAGUGGCGGACGGGUGAGUAACAUUUAGGAAUCUGCCUAGUAGUGGGGGAUAGCUCGGGGAAACUCGAAUUAAUACCGCAUACGACCUACGGGUGAAAGGGGGCGCAAGCUCUUGCUAUUAGAUGAGCCUAAAGCAGAUUAGCUAGUUGGUGGGGUAAAGGCCCACCAAGGCGACGAUCUGUAACUGGUCUGAGAGGAUGAUCAGUCACACCGGAACUGAGACACGGUCCGGACUCCUACGGGAGGUAGCAGUGGGGAAUAUUGGACAAUGGGGGCAACCCUGAUCCAGCCAUGCCACGUGUGUGAAGAAGGCCUUUUGGUUGUAAAGCACUUUAAGCAGGGAGGAGAGGCUAAUGGUUAAUACCCAUUAGAUUAGACGUUACCUGCAGAAUAAGCACCGGCUAACUCUGUGCCAGCAGCCGCCGUAAUAC